rnacentral:rRNA from 1 species
AUGAACGCUAGCUACAGGCUUAACACAUGCAAGUCGAGGGGCAGCAUGGUCUUAGCUUGCUAAGGCCGAUGGCGACCGGCGCACGGGUGAGUAACACGUAUCCAACCUGCCGUCUACUCUUGGACAGCCUUCUGAAAGGAAGAUUAAUACAAGAUGGCAUCAUGAGUCCGCAUGUUCACAUGAUUAAAGGUAUUCCGGUAGACGAUGGGGAUGCGUUCCAUUAGAUAGUAGGCGGGGUAACGGCCCACCUAGUCUUCGAUGGAUAGGGGUUCUGAGAGGAAGGUCCCCCACAUUGGAACUGAGACACGGUCCAAACUCCUACGGGAGGCAGCAGUGAGGAAUAUUGGUCAAUGGGCGAGAGCCUGAACCAGCCAAGUAGCGUGAAGGAUGACUGCCCUAUGGGUUGUAAACUUCUUUUAUAAAGGAAUAAAGUCGGGUAUGGAUACCCGUUUGCAUGUACUUUAUGAAUAAGGAUCGGCUAACUCCGUGCCAGCAGCCGCGGUAAUACGGAGGAUCCGAGCGUUAUCCGGAUUUAUUGGGUUUAAAGGGAGCGUAGAUGGAUGUUUAAGUCAGUUGUGAAAGUUUGCGGCUCAACCGUAAAAUUGCAGUUGAUACUGGAUAUCUUGAGUGCAGUUGAGGCAGGCGGAAUUCGUGGUGUAGCGGUGAAAUGCUUAGAUAUCACGAAGAACUCCGAUUGCGAAGGCAGCCUGCUAAGCUGCAACUGACAUUGAGGCUCGAAAGUGUGGGUAUCAAACAGGAUUAGAUACCCUGGUAGUCCACACAGUAAACGAUGAAUACUCGCUGUUUGCGAUAUACAGCAAGCGGCCAAGCGAAAGCGUUAAGUAUUCCACCUGGGGAGUACGCCGGCAACGGUGAAACUCAAAGGAAUUGACGGGGGCCCGCACAAGCGGAGGAACAUGUGGUUUAAUUCGAUGAUACGCGAGGAACCUUACCCGGGCUUAAAUUGCAGAUGAAUUACGGUGAAAGCCGUAAGCCGCAAGGCAUCUGUGAAGGUGCUGCAUGGUUGUCGUCAGCUCGUGCCGUGAGGUGUCGGCUUAAGUGCCAUAACGAGCGCAACCCUUGUUGUCAGUUACUAACAGGUUCCGCUGAGGACUCUGACAAGACUGCCAUCGUAAGAUGUGAGGAAGGUGGGGAUGACGUCAAAUCAGCACGGCCCUUACGUCCGGGGCUACACACGUGUUACAAUGGGGGGUACAGAGGGCCGCUACCACGCGAGUGGAUGCCAAUCCCCAAAACCUCUCUCAGUUCGGACUGGAGUCUGCAACCCGACUCCACGAAGCUGGAUUCGCUAGUAAUCGCGCAUCAGCCACGGCGCGGUGAAUACGUUCCCGGGCCUUGUACACACCGCCCGUCAAGCCAUGGGAGCCGGGGGUACCUGAAGUGCGUAACCGCGAGGAGCGCCCUAGGGUAAAACUGGUGACUGGGGCU